rnacentral:piRNA from 1 species
UNGCUGGGGACCAGAGCUUGUGAUGCAG